rnacentral:lncRNA from 1 species
UUUGUAACGGAGCUUGGGUUAUGGUGUGGUAAAUAUAAACAAAAAGGAAAACAAGUGGUUUUGGGUUCAGAGCCAAUGUUCAUAUUCUUUUCAUUGUGUUUUAUUCUUUUCUUUUUCAAUUGCUCAGUUUUUCUUUGAUAUUUUCUCUUUUUUUUCAACUGAGUGUUCUUCCUUCGUCGAGUGCUUCUUUCGAACCAUCGACUAUAUUUUGUUUUCUCAAAUUUUUUAUGGUCGUUUUUUCUUCUUCUUUUUCUUCGUACUCAGCUUGGUUUUUG